GCCCACAUGUCAAUGCCUGCUGGAGGCUAAAGGGAGGAGCCCCGAACCCUACCCUUCUCCCAUCCCAUUCUCCCUGGCGGCGGGAACCUCCUCUCCCGUCAGGCAGAUCGUUCCCCUCUUCUCUUUCUCGUCGAUGAGCGCCUUUGUGUAUCCUCCACCGUCAAUCGUUGUUACAACACGGAGAGGAGGUGGCUGAGGAAUGGGGGCAGAUGCCAUCUACUCUGCUUCCUGAUUCGCCACCGCUCUGAUGCCGCCGCCGACAGGUACCACCACCCGCCCCAGUGCUCCAGGAACCUCUCUCCUCUCCUCUUUUUUCUAUGCUCCUGAUCUCUCUGUUGUUAUACCCCGGUAAUCUCCUCAAUGACCCGUGCGUCGGCCGCUGUUGAGAAAAGCAGGUCUACACAAGCAACCUAGGAAGGCCACCGACAGACGCCGCUCCUCGUCGAUUCGUCCGUUGCUUUGGUGAAACCAAUACUAAUUCCAGUUCAUUUAACCCGGCCCCUUUUAAGUUCAUAUUGGCAAGUUGAUGGUUACUUAUCAUCUUUUGAAUGCUUUUUGGUAUCGUUGGGUGAAAGCGGUAAAGCUAAUGUUGAUCCAGAAAGUUUUUCUCAUAUUGACGACGUGGAGGUAUCUUUAUUCGUACAUCUAUCGAACACACUUUUCGGACUAAUUGUUGUUGUAUUUGAGCCUGGAAGUGUCCAGAUAUGUUAUUUGGGAUCUCUGACGCUCCAUUAUUUUUAGGUUGAUGGAUAUCAUAACAAUGAGGAAGCGACAUAGUACCAAAGUAUUAUUGGGAAGAAUCUCUAGCAACAUGAGUUAGUUCUUAGUCUGACUAGAGGGUCUACUGUCUGUUUCUUUCUAACUUUCUUUUACAAGAACAAGCUACAAAGAAAGCUUUAGCAGCUUUGCAGUUAGAGCCUGGAGACGUACAAUAUGAGACGGGGACUUAAUGAGGACACAAAGAACUCCACACCUGCUGAAACACCAUAAGAAGAAACAUAUGGGACUUGGGUAAACAUCAAUGUCGAAGCAGUUGAUGGGUUGUACAAUGUAUGUUUUAUUCGUUCACGUUCGCUGAAUUUAUAAAUUCUUUGCCUAUACUAAAGAUGAGGAUGUCUACAAUAUGACUAUGACAAUGUUGGUUUCUAAUAGCAAAAAAGUCUGAAAAAAGCAGCUCAACAAAAUUCAUUCUGAGUGUUGUCCCGCUCCUCUCUAUCCUCCAGCUAUAAACAUGAGUCGUUCAGAUCUGCGAAAGAAGAGAAGGGGACGAAUCUAGGGGAAAAGUUUGGUGAAAAAGAAGAAUGAGGAUUUUGAGGCUGCUCCGCCGUUCCAUUUGGUUUAGCUUCCCAAAAUCAAAGGGACAUGUUCGAAUUUCACGAUCUAAUAAUUGCAUAAUUUAGUGCUAUUUUUUGGCUUUACUUGAGUGUUUUUGGCUGGAUAGUCCUUUUUGAUAGAUAAACAUACCAAUCCUAAUUCUGGACUGAAGGUUCAGGAUGUUUGUCCGCUUCCUAUUCAUAUGGGUAGAUUUUCUAUGUAGUUCCACCUUAAUAAUAGUUUGCAUGUUCCAAUAUAUAUUCCUGUUAGGUUCUUAGUUUUUAUGUUUAUACUAUGAUGCUUUAUUUAAUUACACCACAAUCAUGUACGGGGCUAAAUAGUAUUUUGUUCCCCCUGCCCCCUCAAAUCAGGUUUGCAUAAAAAAUCGUUUUGUGUUCUUGAUCAAAUUAUUGCUACAUAUUACGAUAGCUAUGUGGUUUAAAAUAAAGAUAAAAAAAUUACAUGCCCUUCCUUUAUUUACGGCUACGUUUCUAAAGCUUGACUAUAUAUGUUAGUCAAUACCUUAAACGACAUUGAAAUUUGUGUUAUACUGUUAUGCUAUGUUGUUAGCACUAAAAACAUCAGUGAGGUUUUCGAAAAAUUAUUUAGAAAUUUUACUGAUCAUAUGUUUACAAGCAUAUCCUAUAUAAUGGUUCUUCUCUAAUUUAAGUUUAAGCACUUCUAAUUCACUGCUUGGUGAACUGAAUUGAUCAAAGGAUGCAGAGUUAUCUUUUUUUCUUUAGGAACCCGCUAGCUAGAUUGGUUACUAUGCCUCUGGGAAGGUGAAAUAGUAAGGUUUUGAAUGAUUAUGACCCCACCUCUUAUCAUCCUAUUUCUUCUAGAUUAAUUAUUGUUUUUGAAUUUAUCUACAUGUGAGCAUAACAACUAUGCAGUGUGCAUAGGGCUGUAUCAUCUUUUGUUACAUUGGAUAAAUCGUCUUGAAACAAAAUACAUUCAAUGAGUCUCUGUAUAUGUAGUAUUGUACUGUAGUGAGCUCAUCCAAUCUGCGAUCAGUGUCUUGAUCCAAGCUUCUCUAGCAUGAAUACUGCUCUAGGUCUUGUACAUAUACCAUAAUUUGCAAGCAGACAGUCAGACUGAAUAUAGCCCCAUUCAUCAUACAAUGUUGAUACUCAAUACACAAUAAGCUUGCAAAUAAUAAAUUGGGUAAGAAUGCUAUUCUUUUCGUUUUUCUUUAAAUUUGUUCUACUCAUUUCCUGUUGUAGGUUCAUGAAUCAUGAGUAUCAUAGGCAGGGCUGACUACAUCAUCUUUUGCCUUGUAUCAGGUCGUUUGGUCAUCUUUGUUCUUCACACAGAUAUGCACAGGCAGAGCACAACAGCAUUCCAAACCGAAGCUGCUCAGGCAUGUUUUGGUGUCCAUCAGAUUCCUUCUUUUUCAUGUUUACUGUUGGCAUUAGCAUUUGUUUCAAGUGAUGUUUAUUCUCGUAUUUGUAAAGCGUUGAUGAUUCAUUCAGUUCAGUAGCACCCAGCCUGAUGUAAUGUUUCUGAUUCUUGUGAACUGUUGUGCACCUACCUACCUGAUGAAUUACUAAGAGGCGUUGGUGCCAAAACAGUUGGAAAA